AACUCUUGAACGGCGAAACUGCAAAUGGCUCAUUAAAACAUUUAUAGUUUAUUUGAUGAUCACUUACUACGUGGAUAACUGUAGUAAUUCUAGAACUAAUACCUGCGCCAAAGCCCGACUUCCCGGAAGGGCCGUGUUUAUUACAUACCGAGCCAACCUAGGCCACGCCUAGAGUUUAUGGUGAUUCAUAAUAACCAAUCGAACCGCUCACGCGGUAUAUCAUUCAAGUUUCUGACCUAUCAGCUUUCGACGGUAGGGUAUUGGCCUACCGUGGCUAUGACGGGUAACGGAGAAUUAGGGUUCGAUUCCRGAGAGGGAGCCUGAGAAACGGCUACCACAUCGAAGGAAGGCAGCAGGCGCCCAAAUUACCCAAUCCKGACAAAGGGAGGUAGUGACAAGAAAUAACAUUUCUGGGCAUUAUUGUCUAGAAAUUUGGAAUGAGUGGACUUUAAAUAACUCCACGAGUAUCAAUUGGAGGGCAAGUCUGGUGCCAGCAGCCUCGGUAAUUCCAGCUCCAAUAGCGUAUAUUAAAGUUGCUGCGGUUGAAAAGCUCGUAGUUGGAUUUCUGCCAAGGACGACCGUCCCGACUUGUCGGUGUCUGGUUUGGCCGAGGCGUUUUGGUCACGUUUAGCAUCAUGUGCUCUUCGAGCACACUAUACGACCGACCAAGUUUUACUUUGAGGAAAUUAGAGUGUUUCAAGCAGGCUUUUGCCUUGAAUACGUUAGCAUGGAAUAAUAAGAUAGGACUUCGGUUCUAUUUUGUUGGUUUCUAGAAUCGAAUGUAAUGAUUAAUAGGAACAGUCGGGGGCAUUCGUACUUAACAGUCAGAGGUGAAAUUCUUGGAUUUGUUAAAGACRAACAACUGCGAAAGCAUUUGCCAAGGAUGUUUUCAUUGAUCAAGAACGAAAGUUAGGGGAUCGAAGACGAUUAGAUACCGUCCUAGUCUUAACCAUAAACCAUGCCGACUAGAGAUUGGGGGUAGUUCUUAGUGACACCCUCAGCACCUUCCGAGAAAUCAAAGUCUKUGGGUUCCGNGGGGGAGUAUGGUCGCAAGGCUGAAACUUAAAGGAAUUGACGGAAGGGCACCACCAGGAGUGGAGCSUGCGGCUUAAUUUGAUUCAACACGGGGAACCUCACCAGGUCCAGACAUAGUAAGGAUUGACAGAUUGAUAGCUCUUUCUUGAUUCUAUGGGUGGUGGUGCAUGGCCGUUCGCAGUUGGUGGAGUGAUUUGUCUGGUUAAUUCCGUUAACGAACGAGACCUUAACCUGCUAAAUAGUCCCAUGAAACUUUUAGUUUCAUUGGCGGCCUCUUAGAGGGACUUUGUGUGUUUAACACAAGGAAGCUUGAGGCAAUAACAGGUCUGUGAUGCCCUUAGAUGUCCUGGGCUGCACGCGCGCUACACUGACACGAUCAGCGAGUUUGUCCUCGCCCGGAAGGGUAGGGUAAUCUUUUGAAAUCGUGUCGUGAUGGGGAUAGAUUCU
rnacentral:rRNA from 1 species